GACCUGCGGAGGGAUCAUUACUGAGUUUACGCUCUAUAACCCUUUGUGAACAUACCUAUAACUGUUGCUUCGGCGGGUAGGGUCUCCGCGACCCUCCCGGCCUCCCGCCUCCGGGCGGGUCGGCGCCCGCCGGAGGAUAACCAAACUCUGAUUUAACGACGUUUCUUCUGAGUGGUACAAGCAAAUAAUCAAAACUUUUAACAACGGAUCUCUUGGUUCUGGCAUCGAUGAAGAACGCAGCGAAAUGCGAUAAGUAAUGUGAAUUGCAGAAUUCAGUGAAUCAUCGAAUCUUUGAACGCACAUUGCGCCCGCCAGCAUUCUGGCGGGCAUGCCUGUUCGAGCGUCAUUUCAACCCUCAAGCUCUGCUUGGUGUUGGGGCCCUACAGCUGAUGUAGGCCCUCAAAGGUAGUGGCGGACCCUCCCGGAGCCUCCUUUGCGUAGUAACUUUACGUCUCGCACUGGGAUCCGGAGGGACUCUUGCCGUAAAACCCCCCAAUUUCCAAAGGUUGACCUCGGAUCAGGUAGGAAUACCCGCUGAACUUAAGCAUAUCAAUA
rnacentral:rRNA from 1 species